AAAUUUUCAACUCAUUUUUCUAUGAGUUCAUCCUUCAAUGAUUCAAGUUUAGAUUCUAACACAUAACAUGAAUACCCCCAAAUCCUUAAUAACCAUACUACUUUCAUCAUAGCCUAGAAAUAUCACAUCCACAACAUAUGUUUUGAAUCAACAAACUUAAAUUUUUGCACACACUGCUUCAAGCCUAUUGAUUUUCCUUUCAUACAACUAUCCCCAUAAAAUGUAAUACCCC
rnacentral:lncRNA from 1 species